GACGAACGCUGGCGGCGUGCUUAACACAUGCAAGUCGAACGGUAAGGCCCUUCGGGGUACACGAGUGGCGAACGGGUGAGUAACACGUGGGUGAUCUGCCCUGCACUUCGGGAUAAGCCUGAGAAACUGGGUCUAAUACCGGAUAGGACUCCUGGCUUCAUGGUUGGGGGUGGAAAGCUUUUGCGGUGUGGGAUGGGCCCGCGGCCUAUCAGCUUGUUGGUGGGGUAAUGGCCUACCAAGGCGACGACGGGUAGCCGGCCUGAGAGGGUGACCGGUCACACUGGGACUGAGAUACGGCCCAGACUCCUACGGGAGGCAGCAGUGGGGAAUAUUGCGCAAUGGGCGCAAGCCUGAUGCAGCGACGCCGCGUGAGGGAUGACGGCCUUCGGGUUGUAAACCUCUUUCAGCUAUGACGAAGCGCAAGUGACGGUAGGUGCAGAAGAAGGACCGGCCAACUACGUGCCAGCCGCCGCAGUAA
rnacentral:rRNA from 1 species